rfam:Clostridium sp. CAG:7 genomic scaffold, scf65
UGACCACUCAAUAUAUUGAGUUAAGCCCAGACGGACAGGCGGGUCAGAAGCCGA